AUUAAAGCUGUCUCUUUUCUUUUAAUAAAAAUUGUCUUACAGGUGCAGAGACUUGUAUUUUAAUGAAGGACAAAAAGACCCUAUCGAGCUUUAUCUUUAAUGAGAUAUUUGUGAUAAUUUACUUUAUAACUCUAUUAGAUUUGGUUGGGGCGACAAAGAAAUAUAUAAAUCUUUCUUUAUAAUUUUGAAUAAUAUUUCUUACAAAUGAUCUUAAUAAAAGAAAGAAGAAAUAGUUACCGUAGGGAUAACAGGCUAAUCCUUCCGGAGAGUUCAAAUUGAUGGGAGGGGUUGGCACCUCGAUGUUGGCUUAAGAUAUCCUAUGGGUGUAGCAGCUUAUAAGGGUUGGUUUGUUCAACCAUUAAAAUCUU
rnacentral:rRNA from 1 species